GCGACUUUGGAACCAGCGUGGGUCGAUUGACUUUUGGGCUCAGCAACAACCCGAAAAUGAUUGACAUUCAUCCGCUUACGCAAAGCCGUCAAAGGCCUUCGUAAUGCGGGGGUCACAGGUUCGAGUCCUGUAAGCGGCACCA
rnacentral:tRNA from 1 species